UGUGACUCUGCCAGAGGCCACCGCCAUGAGUUCGUGAAGGCCGUGCAGGAGGCUGGCUACACACCUGCUUCACAUACACAACAGGUAUUCCUGCCCAGCUCUGGAAUCUGCGCACACUCACGGCCUUCAACUGGAGGUAUAAAGAGGAGGAAGCUACAGGAUUAAGGCUCUCACACUCCGCCCGGGACCACGUGGAUGGCUCCCAGGAGCACAGAGGCACCUGCGCUUGUGCCCGGGCUGUCCUGCCUGCAGAGUAUGGGUGACUCUGAGUGCCCUGAGCCCACAGCUCUCUAAAGCUCUCACAACAUCCAGGGCACAGCCAGGAGCAGAGGGCGAGUUUUCUGAUGCCAGUCCCACCACGUCACAGCAGGUCUCCUUGCGGCAUCUACGUGCCAACACCUGAGCCUUUCCUGCACUAGAACUUUAACCCUCACAAUUAUUGUUAGGAGAGGGUAAGAAGCUGAUGCUGCGGCAGCAAGGACUCUGUUUUUAAGAAUGAACUGACUACAACUGAAGUACAGCACCAAGGGAGGCUACAGGUCUCAGUCUGCAAACUAACAGAAGACUUUCUGUAAAAAUUUUGGGGUGGAAAUUAUAAAAUCAGAUGAGCCCCUCUAGAAUAUUUUUAACAAGAAGCCUCAGCCUUCAAUUUCAAUUCAAAUACAUGAAAUAAAUUUAAUUCUAAAAUGUGGGAAAA